UUUGUUCUGUGAAGUUUGUAUU
rnacentral:miRNA from 1 species